UACGUAGGUGGCAAGCGUUGUCCGGAUUUAUUGGGUUUAAAGGGUGCGUAGGCGGCUUUGUAAGUCAGUGGUGAAAUAUGGCAGCUUAACUGUCAGGGUGCCAUUGAUACUGCGGAGCUUGAGUACAGAUGAGGUAGGCGGAAUUGACGGUGUAGCGGUGAAAUGCUUAGAUAUCGUCAAGAACACCGAUAGCGAAGGCAGCUUACUAGGCUGUAACUGACGCUGAGGCACGAAAGUGUGGGGAUCAAACAGG
rnacentral:rRNA from 1 species